AUGGCUCCAGGGAAGCGAGGCAGCAAGGCCAAGGGGGCCCCGGCGCCGGCGGCCGCGGCCGCGGCGGGCGCCGCCGGCGGGGAGUUCCCGGGUUGCCUCCGCCUGAUGCCGCCGUCCACCGUCGCCAUCUCCGUCCACGCCAAGCCCGGCUCCAAGAUGGCCACCAUCACCGAGAUCGGGGAGGAGGCCGUCGGGGUGCAGAUUGACGCGCCGGCCAGGGACGGGGAGGCCAACGCCGCCCUCGUCGACUUCAUCAGCUCGGUGCUUGGGGUGAAGAAAAGAGAGGUGUCCAUCGGCUCUGGCUCGAAAUCGAGGGAGAAGGUCGUGCUAGUGCAGGACGCGACACUCAAAGGCGUCUUCGAGGCCUUGAAGAAGGCGUGUGGCCCUUGA
rnacentral:rRNA from 1 species